rnacentral:tRNA from 1 species
UCUAAUGUGGCAGAAUAGUGCAAUGAAUUUAAGCUUCAUAUAUAAAGACCCAUCUUUCAUUAGAA